rnacentral:tRNA from 2 species
UUCCUGGAGGACUAGUGGUUAGGCCUCGGCGCUCUCACCACCGCAGCCAGGGUUCGAUUCCCGGCCAGGGAA